rnacentral:rRNA from 1 species
GAUGAACGCUGGCGGCGUGCCUAAUACAUGCAAGUCGAGCGAACAGACGAGGAGCUUGCUCCUCUGAAGUUAGCGGCGGACGGGUGAGUAACACGUGGAUAACCUACCUAUAAGACUGGGAUAACUUCGGGAAACCGGAGCUAAUACCGGAUAAUAUAUUGAACCGCAUGGUUCAAUAGUGAAAGACGGUUUUGCUGUCACUUAUAGAUGGAUCCGCGCCGCAUUAGCUAGUUGGUAAGGUAACGGCUUACCAAGGCGACGAUGCGUAGCCGACCUGAGAGGGUGAUCGGCCACACUGGAACUGAGACACGGUCCAGACUCCUACGGGAGGCAGCAGUAGGGAAUCUUCCGCAAUGGGCGAAAGCCUGACGGAGCAACGCCGCGUGAGUGAUGAAGGUCUUCGGAUCGUAAAACUCUGUUAUUAGGGAAGAACAAAUGUGUAAGUAACUAUGCACGUCUUGACGGUACCUAAUCAGAAAGCCACGGCUAACUACGUG